CUUGCGUUUCGUCGCAUUUUCUUUGCUCUCCUGGCAGAGAGCCUGUAUCAGAACCAUAUUCUUCUGACUCUCAGUCUCGGUGCACUUUUAUUCUGGGCCAUUCCAAAGGAGUUUGACUUAUCCUCUGUGAUUCCCAGGGUAAGGAGGUGGAAGCUACAGGAAGAAGAUUUGGACUCUAAAUAGGGAUAUUUAUUUUUGAUGGUCAGAGGUAUCACAAAAUGACUGUCUCAGAAUAGGAGUGUGUUUCCUGUCCCUGGCAGUACACACAGAGGCUGCCAGCCACCUGGAGAGGAUGUUGUGAAGGGAAUGGAGAAGUCAGACUUGGUGGCCUUCCAAUUCUGAGAGUCUGAGCCUCUUGUAUGAACAGGAAGUGUCUAUUUCUGCCAACCCUCCACCCUCAUACUCCUCGUUAUUUUUCCAGGAAAUCCCAGGAGGCCUGAGAGUUUUAUUUGCAGAUCCAGCCCUCACACUGCAGCCCAUUUGACUGAGGAACCAGACUUUGGGGUGAUUCAAGAGGCUGGAUUCUAGUACUAUUUCUGCAUCCUACUCUAAGUGAUCUGGGGCAAGAAAAUUCUGUAGUUUGUGCCUGCCUGGCCCACUCCCUUUCUCCGGUAAUGCUUCCUCCAUUUCCAUUUGGGGACCACUCCUCCCCUACUCUCAGUCCAUGUGAGGACUGAGAUCGUCCUCACAAUCCUGAGAUCGUCUUAUCUCCAUGUUCGGCCCAUGACCCACGUCUAACCAUGAGGUAGGUGUUCCAGCUCCCCGGCUAAAGUAAUUGGUUCAAGAACAGGCAUCUGAUUCAAGUUGGACCAAUCAGAAUCCGUCUCAAGACUUUUGCUACAUUUGUUGUGAAAGAGAUGCUCUUUUCCUGGAGAUUGCUAACCUGGUAACACCCCAAGCCUGAGAUCUGCCACGUGGGCAGAACAUGCCUUAAAAUGAAGUCAACACAGACGAAAGCAAAGCUCAGGAAGGGUGAGAACAAAUCCUGAUGACAUCAUUCAAAUGCCUGGAUCCAACAACAGUACCUGAAGUUAGACCUACAGCUAGAGAUACAUUUGAUUUGAAUUGCUACUGCCUGUAACCAAGAGUUCCAACAAAUACCCAUCACGAUGUACUGGAGUGGGGACAGAAGACCUCCCUAUAGAAGUAUGGUGCAUCUCGCCUGGGGAUGAUAUCCGCUGCAAUCCUGCAUGUCAGUGACUAUCAAAGUGCCAUCUGGAUCAGCUUCACCUGUUGUUAGAUGUGCAGAUUCUUAGGCCCCAAUCCAACCUACUGAACCAGAAACUCUGGAGGGGGACCGAGCACCAAGUGUUCAACAAGCCCUCCUGACAGUUCGGAUGCUCACCAAAGUCCAAGAACCAUGGAUGCAGGCAAUACAGUCACUGCUUGUUUCAGAGCAGAGGAGCGAUUCCACGAGAGCCUUGUUCAUCAGUAUGUAUUCAUUUAACAAAUAUUUAUUGAUAGCUAAACGCUGUGUUAGGCAUUGGAUUCAAGACAGGGUGCCUGCCCUCCAAUUGCUUACAGCCAAGCUCAGGAGCAGGCAAGGAAACAGAUCACAACACUAGGAGGCCACAAAUGCUAACACAGGACAGGUGAGGGGCCCCGGGCAG